UCCGGUUUAACACCGGCAGUCUUCCUAGAGUCCCCAACUUAAUGCUGGUAACUAAGAACAGGGGUUGCGCUCGUUGCCGGACUUAACCGAACAUUUCACAACACGAGCUGACGACAGCCAUGCAGCACCUGUCACCCCGCGGCCGAAGCCGAAACCACAUCUCUGUGGCUGUCGAGGGAUGUCAAGGCCAGGUAAGGUUUUUCGCGUUGCUUCGAAUUAAACCACAUACUCCACCGCUUGUGCGGGCCCCCGUCAAUUCCUUUGAGUUUUAGCCUUGCGACCGUACUCCCCAGGCGGGAUACUUAAUGUGUGAACUCCGGUACUCAGUGGGUUAAUCCACCGAACACCUAGUAUCCAUCGUUUACGGCGUGGACUAC
rnacentral:misc_RNA from 1 species